AAAUAGAUCCUGAAACCGCAUGCUUACAAAAAGUAGGAGCCCGCAAGGGUGACUGCGUACCUUUUGUAUAAUGGGUCAGCGACUUACAUUCAGUGGCAAGGUUAACCGAGUAGGGAAGCCGUAGAGAAAUCGAGUCCGAAUAGGGCGUCAUAGUCGCUGGGUGUAGACCCGAAACCAAGUGAUCUAUCCAUGGCCAGGAUGAAGGUGCCGUAACAGGUACUGGAGGUCCGAACCGACUAAUGUUGCAAAAUUAGCGGAUGAGCUGUGGAUAGGGGUGAAAGGCUAAACAAACUUGGAAAUAGCUGGUUCUCUCCGAAAACUAUUUAGGUAGUGCCUCAAGUAUUACCUGCGGGGGUAGAGCACUGUUUUGGCUAGGGGGUCAUGGCGACUUACCAAACCAAGGCAAACUCCGAAUACCGCAGAGUACAGCUUGGGAGACAGAGCACCGGGUGCUAACGUCCGGACUCAAGAGGGAAACAACCCAGACCGCCAGCUAAGGUCCCUAAAAUUGGCUAAGUGGGAAACGAAGUGGGAAGGCUAAAACAGUCAGGAUGUUGGCUUAGAAGCAGCCAUCAUUUAAAGAAAGCGUAAUAGCUCACUGAUCGAGUCGUCCUGCGCGGAAGAUGUAACGGGGCUAAGCCAGUUACCGAAGCUGCGGAUUUGCAAUUUAUUGCAAGUGGUAGGAGAGCGUUCUGUAAGCCUGUGAAGGUGUCUUGUAAAGGAUGCUGGAGGUAUCAGAAGUGCGAAUGCUGACAUGAGUAGCGUUAAAGGGGGUGAAAAGCCCCCUCGCCGUAAGCGCAAGGUUUUCUACGCAACGUUCAUCGGCGUAGAGUGAGUCGGCCCCUAAGGCGAGGCAGAGAUGCGUAGCUGAUGGGAAACAGGUCAAUAUUCCUGUACCGAUUACAAGUGCGAUGUGGGGACGGAGAAGGUUAGCUCAGCCAACUGUUGGAUAUGUUGGUUCAAGCCUGUAGUCAUGCCCGGUAGGCAAAUCCGCCGGGCUUAGAUGAGGGGUGAUAACGAGGGUGCUUGCACCCGAAGUGAGUGAUACCCUGCUUCCAGGAAAAGCCACUAAGCUUCAGCUUGUAACGACCGUACCGCAAACCGACACUGGUGCGCGAGAUGAGUAUUCUAAGGCGCUUGAGAGAACUCAGGAGAAGGAACUCGGCAAAUUGAUACCGUAACUUCGGGAGAAGGUAUGCCCCUAGCAGGUGAACUCGAACAGAGGGAGCCCAAUGGGGUUGCAAAAAAUCGGUGGCUGCGACUGUUUAAUAAAAACACAGCACUCUGCAAACACGAAAGUGGACGUAUAGGGUGUGACGCCUGCCCGGUGCUGGAAGAUUAAAUGAUGGGGUGCAAGCUCUUGAUUGAAGUCCCAGUAAACGGCGGCCGUAACUAUAACGGUCCUAAGGUAGCGAAAUUCCUUGUCGGGUAAGUUCCGACCUGCACGAAUGGCGUAACGAUGGCCACACUGUCUCCUCCUGAGACUCAGCGAAGUUGAAAUGUUUGUGAUGAUGCAAUCUCCCCGCGGAAAGACGGAAAGACCCCAUGAACCUUUACUGUAGCUUUGUACUGGACUUUGAACAGAUCUGUGUAGGAUAGGUGGGAGGCUUUGAAGCGUGGUCGCUAGACUGCGUGGAGCCAACGUUGAAAUACCACCCUGGUGUGUUUGAGGUUCUAACCUAGGUCCAUUAUCUGGAUCGGGGACAGUGCGUGGUAGGCAGUUUGACUGGGGCGGUCUCCUCCCAAAGUGUAACGGAGGAGUUCGAAGGUACGCUAGGUACGGUCGGACAUCGUGCUAAUAGUGCAAUGGCAUAAGCGUGCUUAACUGCGAGACUGACAAGUCGAGCAGAUACGAAAGUAGGACAUAGUGAUCCGGUGGUUCUGUAUGGAAGGGCCAUCGCUCAACGGAUAAAAGGUACUCUGGGGAUAACAGGCUGAUACCGCCCAAGAGUUCAUAUCGACGGCGGUGUUUGGCACCUCGAUGUCGGCUCAUCUCAUCCUGGGGCUGUAGCCGGUCCCAAGGGUAUGGCUGUUCGCCAUUUAAAGAGGUACGUGAGCUGGGUUUAAAACGUCGUGAGACUGUUUGGUCCCUAUCUUCCGUGGGCGCUG
rnacentral:rRNA from 1 species